UACGUAGGGUGCAAGCGUUAUCCGGAAUUAUUGGGCGUAAAGAGCUCGUAGGCGGUUUGUCACGUCUGCUGUGAAAACUGGAGGCUCAACCUCCAGCCUGCAGUGGGUACGGGCAGACUAGAGUGCGGUAGGGGAGAUUGGAAUUCCUGGUGUAGCGGUGGAAAUGCGCAGAUAUCAGGAGGAACACCGAUGGCGAAAGGCAGAUCUCUGGGCAUUAACUGACGCUGAGGAGCGAAAGCAUGGGGAGCGAACAGG
rnacentral:rRNA from 1 species